CCUANGGGUGGCUGCAGUAGGGAAUAUUGGACAAUGGGUGCGAGCCUGAUCCAGCCAUGCCGCGUGCAGGAAGACGGCCUUCUGGGUUGUAAACUGCUUUUGCCAGGGGAUAAAACGUCCAUGCGUGGAUAAUUGAAGGUACCUGGUGAAUAAGCCACGGCUAACUACGUGCCAGCAGCCGCGGUAAUACGUAGGUGGCAAGCGUUGUCCGGAUUUAUUGGGUUUAAAGGGUGCGUAGGCGGUUCCAUAAGUCAGUGGUGAAAUACGGCAGCUUAACUGUCGAGGUGCCAUUGAUACUGCGGAACUUGAGUACAGACGAGGUAGGCGGAAUUGACGGUGUAGCGGUGAAAUGCUUAGAUAUCGUCAAGAACACCGAUAGCGAAGGCAGCUUACUAGACUGUAACUGACGCUGAGGCACGAAAGUGUGGGGAUCAAACAGGAUUAGAUACCCUGNUANUC
rnacentral:rRNA from 1 species